GAUGAACGCUGGCGGCGUGCUUAACACAUGCAAGUCGAGCGAGAAGUUUUGAAAAGAUUCUUCGGAUGAAAUUUAAAAUGGAAAGCGGCGGACGGGUGAGUAACGCGUAGGCAACCUGCCCCAUACAAAGGGAUAGCAUUUGGAAACGAAUAUUAAUACCUUAUGAAACUUAACUAGUGCAUGCUAGGUAGGUCAAAGAUUUAUCGGUAUGGGAUGGGCCUGCGUCUGAUUAGCUAGUUGGUGAGGUAGCGGCUCACCAAGGCGACGAUCAGUAGCCGACCUGAGAGGGUGAACGGCCACAUUGGAACUGAGACACGGUCCAAACUCCUACGGGAGGCAGCAGUGGGGAAUAUUGCACAAUGGGGGAAACCCUGAUGCAGCAACGCCGCGUGAACGAUGAAGGCCUUUGGGUCGUAAAGUUCUGUUCUAGGUGAUGAAAACUGACAGUAACCUAGGAGAAAGCCCCGGCUAACUCCGUG
rnacentral:rRNA from 1 species